rnacentral:tRNA from 1 species
AAAAAUUUAGUUAAUACAAUAUAACAUUAGUUUGUCAAACUAAAAUAAUUCUCAAUAAUAAUUUUUA